rnacentral:lncRNA from 1 species
GCGCCAACCGCCGCACACCCGUAGGAAACUCUCCCCACGAGCAUGCAAGGCAUCUAAACCAAACACCUCAAUUAUGUAAUUCUAAAAUAAUUUAACUGAAUAAAUGCAAUCUUAUUCCAUUGACUAACUCAAGUCAUAAGGUCUCACAAGUCUAAAUACGCAGCGGAAUAAUCAUUUACCAACAUGCAGAAACCUAGUUCUUAAAAUAACAAAAGUCCACCAAUCAUAAUAAAUGUCCAUAAUAAUAAAUCAACUUAAAUAACCCUAAUCUAAGAUAACUUGUGCCACAAUCCUGCUAGUCGCUCUCCCAAUUUGAAUCCCCAAUAGACUAGUUCUCGAAAUCUGUAAAACAACAAGAGAUGGUAUAAUGAGCUAGACAGCCCAGUAAGUAAUGAACACUCUAGCUAGAUAAAUCAAGCAAUAAUAUGUGGAAAAUAAAUAAAUAUGCAGUUCUAAAGUAUAAGUCAAAUAUUUCUUAAAUUCAUAAGAUUCUUUUCGCGGUUUCAAGAUUCUUUCACAUAUUCAAUUCAUUUUGUCGAUCCUGGACUAUGACCACAUGUUCCCUGUGGCAGGGUCAUCAACACCGACUAAUCUUCUUGCGGUGAGUCCUUCAGGACAGUCAAUUGCCAACGUAUCUGCCCCCAUUGGCGGGGUUCUCAACAUAGCCAGGUUGAUAGUUCAAUUAGUUCUCUAUUUCAUAUUUCAGUUAUAAAAACAUACAGUGUCAAAACCAAAUAUCGUUCAUAUCUUAACCUCUUUCAAUUUAUCAGAUUCAACUCAACAGCCAGGGA